GCUUGUGUAGCUCAGCAGGUUAGAGCGGAGGUCUUAUGAGCCUCAGGUCCUGGGUUCAAUCCCCAGCACAAGCA